ACGCGUGGGUAACCUGCCUUGUACUGGGGGACAACCGUUGGAAACGACUGCUAAUACCGCAUAAGCGCACAGCUUCGCAUGAAGCAGUGUGAAAAACUCCGGUGGUACAAGAUGGACCCGCGUCUGAUUAGCUGGUUGGUGAGGUAACGGCCCACCAAGGCAACGAUCAGUAGCCGGCCUGAGAGGGUGAACGGCCACAUUGGGACUGAGACACGGCCCAAACUCCUACGGGAGGCAGCAGUGGGGAAUAUUGCACAAUGGGGGAAACCCUGAUGCAGCAACGCCGCGUGAGUGAAGAAGUAUUUCGGUAUGUAAAGCUCUAUCAGCAGGAAAGAAAAUGACGGUACCUGACUAAGAAGCCCCGGCUAACUACGUGCCAGCAGCCGCGGUAAUACGUAGGGGGCAAGCGUUAUCCGGAUUUACUGGGUGUAAAGGGAGCGUAGACGGUUUUGCAAGUCUGAAGUGAAAGCCCGGGGCUUAACCCCGGGACUGCUUUGGAAACUGUAGAACUAGAGUGCAGGAGAGGUAAGUGGAAUUCCUAGUGUAGCGGUGAAAUGCGUAGAUAUUAGGAGGAACACCAGUGGCGAAGGCGGCUUACUGGACUGUAACUGACGUUGAGGCUCGAAAGCGUGGGGAGCAAACAGGAUUAGAUACCCUGGU
rnacentral:rRNA from 1 species